AUUGCAUAUCAUGAUUUUGAGAAAUUGGAGAUUCGAGUUCUUACUUGAUUUUGAAGAAAUGAAUGAAACAGUCGUGUUUUGAUGAUGCCUUGCUGAAACAGUUGCUCCAAAGUCCUUCAAAUGAUGAAUGAUGCAAAGGGUUUGGCUCAAAGAAGCUUGGAAUGGAUGCAAACAACUUCUGCCAUUAAAGGAGCUUGAAGAAAACAGUCGAGCAAAUGGCUUUCCAGUUGAUGUGUGAUGGUUGAAA
rnacentral:lncRNA from 1 species